rnacentral:tRNA from 1 species
GCGCGAUUGGCGGAACUGGCAGACGCGCCAGAUUUAGGUUCUGGUGGGAGACUGUGUGGGUUCGAGUCCCACAUCGCGCA